UACAGAGGGUGCGAGCGUUAAUCGGAAUUACUGGGCGUAAAGCGUGCGUAGACGGUUAUCUAAGUCGGAUGUGAAAGCCCCGGGCUCAACCUGGGAAUUGCAUUCGAGACUGAAUAGCUAGGGUGCGGUAGAGGGAAGCGGAAUUUCCGGUGUAGCGGUGAAAUGCGUAGAUAUCGGGAAGAACACCGGUGGCGAAGGCGGCUCUCUGGACCGAGACUGACGCUGAGGCGCGAAAGCGUGGGGAGCAAACAGG
rnacentral:rRNA from 1 species